rnacentral:rRNA from 1 species
CCAGCUCCAAGAGUGUAUAUUAAAGUUGUUGCAGUUAAAAAGCUCGUAGUUGGAUUUCGGAAGGUCUUUAGUGGUCCGCCCCUUCGGGGAGCGGGUCACUGGCCUCCUAUGUUCCUAACGGUCCUCAUCCGCGAGGGUGGGGAAUCAACCGCUAGGAUCGUUUACUUUGAGGAAAUUAGAGUGUUCAAGGCAGGCGUGUGCUUGGAUAGGUUAGCAUGGAAUAACGGGAUGGUCCGUUGGUUGGAGCGUAGGUUGAUAGGGACAGUUGGGGGCAUUGGUAUUUGGCAGUCAGAGGUGAAAUUCUAGGAUUUGCUGAAGACGGACGGGGGCGAAAGCAUUUGCCAAGGACGUUUUCAUUGAUCAAGAACGAAAGUUGGGGGAUCGAAGACGAUUAGAUACCGUCGUAGUCUCGACAGUAAACGAUGCCGGCGGGGCGUGGGGGGGCCGAAGGCGGAUCUUCCGCGCCCUGGAGAAAUCAGAGCGUGUGGGUUCUGGGGGGAGUAUGGUCGCAAGGCAGAAACUUGAAGGAAUUGACGGAAGGGCACCACCAGGAGUGGAGCCUGCGGCUUAAUUCGACUCAAC